rnacentral:rRNA from 1 species
GAUGAACGCUGGCGGCGUGCCUAAUACAUGCAAGCCGAGCGAACGGACGAGAAGCUUGCUUCUCUGAUGUUAGCGGCGGACGGGUGAGUAACACGUGGAUAACCUACCUAUAAGACUGGGAUAACUUCGGGAAACCGGAGCUAAUACCGGAUAAUAUUUUGAACCGCAUGGUUCAAAAGUGAAAGACGGUCUUGCUGUCACUUAUAGAUGGAUCCGCGCUGCAUUAGCUAGUUGGUAAGGUAACGGCUUACCAAGGCAACGAUGCAUAGCCGACCUGAGAGGGUGAUCGGCCACACUGGAACUGAGACACGGUCCAGACUCCUACGGGAGGCAGCAGUAGGGAAUCUUCCGCAAUGGGCGAAAGCCUGACGGAGCAACGCCGCGUGAGUGAUGAAGGUCUUCGGAUCGUAAAACUCUGUUAUUAGGGAAGAACAUAUGUGUAAGUAACUGUGCACAUCUUGACGGUACCUAAUCAGAAAGCCAUGGCUAACUACGUG